UACGGAGGGUGCAAGCGUUAUCCGGAUUCACUGGGUUUAAAGGGUGCGUAGGAGGGCAGGUAAGUCAGUGGUGAAAUCUCCGGGCUUAACCCGGAAACUGCCGUUGAUACUACCGGUCUUGAAUACCGUGGAGGUGAGCGGAAUAUGUCAUGUAGCGGUGAAAUGCUUAGAUAUGACAUAGGACACCAAUUGCGAAGGCAGCUCACUACACGGUCAUUGACUCUGAGGCACGAAAGCGUGGGGAUCAAACAGG
rnacentral:rRNA from 1 species